AGGCGCCGCCAUAUUGGCCUUGGCUGCUCUGACGAGCGUCUUUCACUUUAUCCUUACUCCGCGGCCGACCGUCACGCGACAUGCAACACACAGACGAAAAACUUUGAGACGAUGUAAUAAAAGUUUCACUUUAAAAACUACAAUUUUAUUUGGAAGUUUAUUUUCAUCAUUAACCUUAGAAUAUAUUUCACCAACAUCAAAUGUAUGGCUUUCGAGUGGAUGGAUUGACGAAAUAAUAGCAACAACAGGAAGCCAAGGGAAAAAUGGAGUAAGCUGAAGAAGGCCUAUACCCGAAGUGGGGUUCCAAUAACUUAAGAUUUAUAAUUGUAAUUUUUUAAGAAAAACUGAUUUCCUUUUUUUUGGUAAGGUGUUGGAAAUAAAAUCAUUAUUAUUAUUU